CUGUCCAACGUUAAUCGGGGCAGGGUGAGUCGACCCCUAAGGCGAGGCCGAAAGGCGUAGUCGAUGGGAAACAGGUUAAUAUUCCUGUACUUGGUGUUACUGCGAAGGGGGGACGGAGAAGGCUAUGUUGGCCGGGCGACGGUUGUCCCGGUUUAAGCGUGUAGGCUGGUUUUCCAGGCAAAUCCGGAAAAUCAAGGCUGAGGCGUGAUGACGAGGCACUACGGUGCUGAAGCAACAAAUGCCCUGCUUCCAGGAAAAGCCUCUAAGCAUCAGGUAACAUCAAAUCGUACCCCAAACCGACACAGGUGGUCAGGUAGAGAAUACCAAGGCGCUUGAGAGAACUCGGGUGAAGGAACUAGGCAAAAUGGUGCCGUAACUUCGGGAGAAGGCACGCUGAUAUGUAGGUGAAGUCCCUCGCGGAUGGAGCUGAAAUCAGUCGAAGAUACCAGCUGGCUGCAACUGUUUAUUAAAAACACAGCACUGUGCAAACACGAAAGUGGACGUAUACGGUGUGACGCCUGCCCGGUGCCGGAAGGUUAAUUGAUGGGGUCAGCGCAAGCGAAGCUCUUGAUCGAAGCCCCGGUAAACGGCGGCCGUAACUAUAACGGUCCUAAGGUAGCGAAAUUCCUUGUCGGGUAAGUUCCGACCUGCACGAAUGGCGUAAUGAUGGCCAGGCUGUCUCCACCCGAGACUCAGUGAAAUUGAACUCGCUGUGAAGAUGCAGUGUACCCGCGGCAAGACGGAAAGACCCCGUGAACCUUUACUAUAGCUUGACACUGAACAUUGAGCCUUGAUGUGUAGGAUAGGUGGGAGGCUUUGAAGUGUGGACGCCAGUCUGCAUGGAGCCGACCUUGAAAUACCACCCUUUAAUGUUUGAUGUUCUAACGUGGACCCGUGAUCCGGGUUGCGGACAGUGUCUGGUGGGUAGUUUGACUGGGGCGGUCUCCUCCUAAAGAGUAACGGAGGAGCACGAAGGUUGGCUAAUCCUGGUCGGACAUCAGGAGGUUAGUGCAAUGGCAUAAGCCAGCUUGACUGCGAGCGUGACGGCGCGAGCAGGUGCGAAAGCAGGUCAUAGUGAUCCGGUGGUUCUGAAUGGAAGGGCCAUCGCUCAACGGAUAAAAGGUACUCCGGGGAUAACAGGCUGAUACCGCCCAAGAGUUCAUAUCGACGGCGGUGUUUGGCACCUCGAUGUCGGCUCAUCACAUCCUGGGGCUGAAGUAGGUCCCAAGGGUAUGGCUGUUCGCCAUUUAAAGUGGUACGCGAGCUGGGUUUAGAACGUCGUGAGACAGUUCGGUCCCUAUCUGCCGUGGGCGCUGGAGAACUGAGGGGGGCUGCUCCUAGUACGAGAGGACCGGAGUGGACGCAUCACUGGUGUUCGGGUUGUCAUGCCAAUGGCACUGCCCGGUAGCUAAAUGCGGAAGAGAUAAGUGCUGAAAGCAUCUAAGCACGAAACUUGCCCCGAGAUGAGUUCUCCCUGACCCUUUAAGGGUCCUGAAGGAACGUUGAAGACGACGACGUUGAUAGGCCGGGUGUGUAAGCGCAGCGAUGCGUUGAGCUAACCGGUACUAAUGAACCGUGAGGCUUAACCUUACAACGCCGAAGGUGUUU
rnacentral:rRNA from 1 species